UUUGUUAGUUAAUCCUUAUAACAUUUUUUAUGUUAUGCUACAUUUUAAUUGAUAACAUUUUAAAAAUAUAUAGACAAUUUAAAAGUAUAACCAAUUGAGACCUAACCCAGUGGACACAUCAAUAUCAGAAGAGCGUUAAAUAAUGUUAUUAUUUAGGUUGUAAUAACGUUGGAAAUGGAAAGGAUGAAUAACUUACAUAGACAUUAGUCAAUAACACACAAAGGCCAUAAGUUCAGCAUGAAAUUUUCAAACACCCUGUUAUCUUCAAGAUGAAUAAAUUGAUGAAACUACAAGUACUAGAGAAACAAAAAACAGGAAAAAUGGUUCCAUUAUCUUAUUAUUUAUACGUUGGGAAUACACUUGGAAUUUGAAUUAUCAAAUUUGUCUGUUGAAUGGCUGGUUCUGCAACUUGAAAUAUUAACAUUUGUGCAGUUUCUCAAAUUAUUUGUUUUUCCAGUAUAUGUUGAUUGACUAUUACAUGAUAAACAUUUAAAAUAAUAAAUGACUUUUUUGCUGUUACAGGUAAUGUGACUUUUGAUGUUCCAGAUAGUACCAUUGGAUGUUAGAAAUUUUUUUACUAAAUUUUUCUUGUAGGUAAAAUAGACAAAUUUUGAAACGACUAUCACUACAUUUAAAAAUUCCUUUCUUUUUAUUGUUAGAUGUUAUGGAAUUAAAUUUAGCAGAAGCAAGUUUUCUCAGUAACUUUGGUAGUUGUUUGUAAGCUAUUACAGAAUUGAUAUUAGAAAAAAUUUGUUGUAUUCUUUCACUAGAGGAUAGACUGAAUAGAUUUGUUUUAGUUAGUAUAGGCUGGCAGUUUAGAUCACAGUGAACCAUAAUAACCGCCAGGUUUGAUGUUUCCCCACAUACAAUUUUUUUUUCUUAUUAAGAAGUAACAUAGUAUAUCAAUUAGGUAAAGGUAUUAAGAACCUCCAUAGGAAUGGCUAGAAUAAAAUUUUUACACAUCUAAACUUUAGAUAAAAAGGGGAGGGCGGUACAUGGUUAACUUUAUUGAAGUUCAUAUAUUUCACAUAAUUUUAUGAAGAAGCCAAAUUUUUACUGUGUUUUUUUUCGGACAUAAAAAAAAUGUAGGUAUAAAAGCAACAACAACAAAAUGCAAUUAACGCAUGUAAGGUAAAAAAUAUCUAGACUAAGCUUUAAAAUACACAAAUAACAUUAUAUUUUAUAUUUGAUUAAAAUCUUUCAUGCUAUUAAAAUACUUUAGAAACAACAAUUUUGACAUAGUUUGGGUCAACAAUAUAUUAAUUUGAAUAGUAAACUUGUUAACGGUUGAAAACUCCACAACACUUGACUUCAAUCGUUUAGCAUAGUCUGGGUGGCUUUGUCGUCUCUUAAACAUAAUCCAUGUUUUUUUAAACUCAUGAUGAACAAAUUCACCUGAUUGUUCAGAGUAAAUUCCGAGUCCAUUAUCAGUAUUGGUAUUUUUUAGAAAUAGUACAAUGUGGUUAACUGCAGUAUGAACUUUCCACGGUAUAUUCAAAGAAAUAUUAUUAAAGUAAGUAUUAAUAUAUUCCAUUAAAUUAGCAUAAAACAUCUUGAAUUCGAAAACUACAGAUUCAAUAUCACCAAUAAUUUUAUCUCCAAAGGUAGCUUGCUUCAAGAAAAGGAAGAGUUUGUUUUUCUCCACCAUCCAAAAGACUCUCUCCUUCACACCACAAACAACUAUAUUUUACAGCAUGGCUUGUAAUUCCAAACAUUGAGUUUGCACACUUUAAAUCAAAUGCAACAGAAUACUUAAUAUUUUGAAGAUUAAGAAUAUCAACUAAUUUUCUAAGAUUUCCAUUGUGUUCAGACACUCCUUCUACAAUAGCAACAAUAAAACAACGAUUAACUCCAGCAUCAUCAAGGUCAGGUUGGUUGCUAGUUUUAUCAUGCCGAUUAAAAAAGGUUCAUAGUGACCUUUAAAAAACCUUGACCAGAAUCCACAGCAACUCUUACAAUUGUAGAAAGAGGGUCAAUAUUCCUUUCAGUGAUUAUAUUAUGAAUAAAUUCAUCAAUAUCCGUCAUAUAAACCAUUGAUUUAUUUACUAUAUCGCCAGCUUCAAAAAAUUCUUCUUCUUUACAUGAAAAAUAUUCACUCAUUUCUGAUUUUAAAGCCUCUAAUUUUUCAAUAAUAUUUCCUUCUAUGCUAUUUUGAAAGCCAAGAUUUUUUCUAAAUAUGGAACACAUUUUUUGGUUUUACACUAAGAUAGUUCUAAACAUAUUAUACGCUCAAUGAAUAUUCCAAAAGACACUUGACUAAGAUUAGCACGAUCACAUUUAUUGCCCAUAGUUCCAGCUACAAUAGCCAAUGGUUUCCCAUGAGUAACAAUUUUGAAUUUUUCACCUCUAAAAAUAUUAUCCUUUUCCAUUUUUGUUUUUAAAAUACUCAAAGCAACACGUUCUUGACGGUUUAUCUAAACAAAUAAAUCUAAAAACAUAUAAACUAGUAAUAUAAAAAAUAUAACACAUUAUUAAUAAACACAUCAAUGACAUAUUAGUUACUAUAUAUAGGAAUUUUAAGCAGCUUGUUAUAUAUAACAAGUUGUUUAAAAUUUUUUAAAUUUAUAAAGGUUCAUUAAAUCAUUCAAUGAAUCAUCGAAAAUAAAGAGCUGAGACACAAUAAAUCUUGAGACACAGCUCUUACUUUUAAGAAAAUUUAUAAAAAAAAAACUUUUAAACACUAAGUCUUAAAUAAAGUUUUUUUAUUAAUUUUAUCAACUAA